rnacentral:rRNA from 13 species
AAUGCGACACGACAAGGAAAAUCAUACCGUGCUGGCGAACCUGUACGAAGGUAUUGAGAUGACGGGUCGUGGCUUGAUCAAGGCGUUUGAAAUGAAUGGUCUCGUCAAAUUCGGAAAAGAGGGAGAACUCUUUGAC